rnacentral:rRNA from 1 species
AGUAAAUCUAGAGCUAAUACGUGCGUAAAUCCCGACUUCUGGAAGGGACGUAUUUAUUAGAUAAAAGACCGACCGGCUUCGGCCGACCCUCGGUGAAUCAUGAUAACUUCACGAAUCGCAUGGCCUUGUGCCGGCGAUGUUUCAUUCAAAUUUCUGCCCUAUCAACUUUCGAUGGUAGG